GGGGCGUGAGCCAUCCGGUGGAGAGAUCACUAGUGAGAAUGAUGACAUGAGUAGCGACAAAGAGUGUGAGAGACACUCUCGCCGAAAGUCCAAGGGUUCCUGCUUAAAGCUAAUCUGAGCAGGGUAAGCCGGCCCCUAAGCCGAGGGCGAAAGCCGUAGGCGAUGGGAACUAGGUUAAUAUUCCUAGGCCAGGAGGAUGUGACGGAUCUCGAAGAUUGUUCGACCUUAUCGGAUUGGUCGGGCCGUUUAGAGGUCCCUGGAAAUAGCCCUCCAUGAGACCGUACCCUAAACCAACACAGGUGGACUGGUAGAGAAUACCAAGGCGCUUGAGAGAACGAUCUUGAAGGAACUCGGCAAAAUACCUCCGUAAGUUCGCGAGAAGGAGGCCCAGUUUCUACGCAAGUAUUGGCUGGGGGCACAAACCAGGGG
rnacentral:rRNA from 1 species